rnacentral:rRNA from 1 species
UACGUAGGGGGCGAGCGUUGUCCGGAUUUAUUGGGCGUAAAGAGCGUGUAGGCGGUUCGGUAAGUCUGUCGUGAAAUCCUGAGGCUCAACCUCGGGCGUGCGAUGGAUACUACCGGGCUAGAGGAUGGUAGAGGCGAGUGGAAUUCCCGGUGUAGCGGUGAAAUGCGCAGAUAUCGGGAGGAACACCAGUAGCGAAGGCGGCUCGCUGGGCCAUUCCUGACGCUGAGACGCGAAAGCUAGGGGAGCGAACAGG